UUCCAUGUUGGUUUAUGAAAUCGAACAAGUGGUUCGGUGAUAAUCGAGAGAGUUCGAUUACGUUAUCCGCUACCACGACCGAUCAUCGCCAUUGCUUUAUUGCCAAAUCCAAUUGCUCCGCGCUCGAGCGAACACUCAUGUAUAAACAAACUCCGGGCAUAUAUAUCGGGCUUGAACAAAGUGCUCUGCGAGUAACAAUUGAGAGAAAGAUAGAUAUGACGAUAUAUGUAUAUCGUUGAACUGCGUUGCAGUUAUUAAGAAUGAAUAAACAAAAAAUUAUAUGCAAAAAAUAUAUAAAUCUGUUCGUCCGGAUGAGCUGACGAUGAAAAUAAUGAAAACACGAACCGAUUAUUGGUUGUGCAGAAAGCCGCGAAACGCGACCGCGACGCGAAACGACAUGACGAACGGACGAACGUAAAUGACAAUACUGGACACACCUAAUAUCAAAA
rnacentral:lncRNA from 1 species